UGAAUACGAGACGCUAAGGCGUCGAAGUAGUGUAUGUCAUACUUCCAAGAAAAGCUUGCACUGUCAUAGAUAAAAAACGCCUGUACCAUAACCGACACAGGUGGGUAGGUAGAGUAUACUAAGGGGCGCGAGAUAACUCUCUCUAAGGAACUCGGCAAAAUAACUCCGUAACUUCGGGAGAAGGAGUGCCUUAUUCGUAAGGUUGCAAUAACAAGAUCCAAGCAACUGUUUAUCAAAAACACAGGUCUCCGCUAAGUCGUAAGACGAUGUAUGGGGGCUGACGCCUGCCCAGUGCCAGUAGGUUAAAGAAGUUGGUUAGCAAUUGCGAAGCUGAUAACUGAAGCCCUGGUGAACGGCGGCCGUAACAAUAACGGUCCUAAGGUAGCGAAAUUCCUUGUCGGGUAAGUUCCGACCCGCACGAAAGGCGUAAUGAUUUGGAUACUGUCUCGGAGAGGGGCUCGGUGAAAUAGACUUGUCUGUGAAGAUGCGGACUACCUGCACCAGGACAGAAAGACCCUAUGAAGCUUUACUGUAACUUGAAAUUGAAAUUGGACUUUAUUCGCGCAGUAUAGGUGGGAGGCGUUGAUUAUAAUCUUGUGGGAUUAUUGGAGCCAUCAGUGAGAUACCACUCUUGUAAUGUUAGAUUUCUAACUUUGAAUCAUUAUCUGGUCAAAGAACAGUUUCAGGCGGGCAGUGUGACUGGGGCGGUCGCCUCCUAAACGGUAACGGAGGCGUACAAAGGUUUCCUCUGAACGGUUAGAAAUCGUAUCUAGAGUGUAAAGGCAUAAGGAAGCUUGACUGUGAGACCUACAAGUCGAGCAGGGACGAAAGUCGGUCUUAGUGAUCUGACGGUACUGAGUGGAAAGGCCGUCACUCAACGGAUAAAAGUUACUCUAAGGAUAACAGGCUGAUCUCCCCCAAGAGUUCACAUCGACGGGGAGGUUUGGCACCUCGAUGUCGGCUCAUCGCAUCCUGGGGCGGUAGUACGUCCCAAGGGUUGGGCUGUUCGCCCAUGAAAGCGGUACGCGAGCUGGGUUCAGAACGUCGUGAGACAGUUCGGUCCAUAUCCGGUGUAGGCGUUAGAAUAUUGAGAGGAGCCUUCUUUAGUACGAGAGGACCGAGAAGGACAUACCUCUGGUGUACCAGUUAUCGUGCCAACGGUAAACGCUGGGUAGCUAUGUAUGGAAUGGAUAACCGCUGAAAGCAUCUAAGUGGGAAGCCCACCUCAAGAUAAG
rnacentral:rRNA from 1 species